rnacentral:rRNA from 1 species
UACGAAGGGGGCUAGCGUUGCUCGGAAUCACUGGGCGUAAAGCGCACGUAGGCGGCUUUUUAAGUCAGGGGUGAAAUCCUGGAGCUCAACUCCAGAACUGCCUUUGAUACUGAGAAGCUUGAGUCCGGGAGAGGUGAGUGGAACUGCGAGUGUAGAGGUGAAAUUCGUAGAUAUUCGGAAGAACACCAGUGGCGAAGGCGGCCACCUGGCUCGGUACUGACGCUCAGGUUCGAAAGCGUGGGGAGCAAACAGG